UACAGAGGGUGCGAGCGUUAAUCGGAAUUACUGGGCGUAAAGCGCGCGUAGGUGGUUUGUUAAGUCUGUUGUGAAAGCCCCGGGCUCAACCUGGGAACUGCAUUUGUGACUGGCGAGCUAGAGUAUGGCAGAGGGGGGUAGAAUUCCACGUGUAGCAGUGAAAUGCGUAGAGAUGUGGAGGAAUACCGAUGGCGAAGGCAGCCCCCCUGGGCCAAUACUGACGCUCAUGCACGAAAGCGUGGGGAGCAAACAGG
rnacentral:rRNA from 1 species